CAAAGGUACGAAUCGCGCCACACAACUACGAAUCACAUUUUCUUUCAAUUACUCACUGAUUUCUUCAUGUAUUUGACACAACGGUUCAAUUUCACAGUGAAAUCGAGCACCGAAGUCGAACGGCUUCAAUCACUGAAGUCGAAUUAAGCAAAAUCAGUUUCAAAAAUCUUCAAAAGUGAUUGUAGGCUUCCCAUAGCCAGCUCCAAUCAAUGAUGAAGAUCAUGGCCAACAAAAUCAUAUUAUCAGACUCCGAGUCAAAUAUAACAAUGUGAUUUUAUCAUCAUCACUGAAUCAGAGGAGAUCAGAUAUCAUAAAAGUGGAGAAGCAAAUAUAUAUAUUGAUAUGGCGUCAAAGAAACUGAUCAAUUUUGGCAUCCAAUCUGCACAAGCGUCUCAAGAAGAAGACAUAGCAGCAACUACUCAACCAAAGCUUGCUAAGAAGAAGACAGCCAGAUUUGCAAAAAACCUCACCAGCAAUUUUAAUGAAGUCCAGAAUGACAACCAAUGAUUG